GGUGGCGACGGCAGCGUGGCGCAUAGCUGCCGCGACCAUUGAACAGCUCUCCGAAAAAUGAACUUCUCUUUUAUCGUAACGGCGCUCGCUCGUAUUGUGUCCUCUCGGUCACCAGGGUUAAAUGCAAUGAUGGCGUACGCCACGUGAUCGGUCCGGCACACCGCCAUUGGUCCCCUACUCUUCCACCGACUACGUCAUGAUACAUCAUGGCAUCUUCGAACUUUUUCAUACUGUUUCUCUUUGUCUCACUUGUGUCACGCAUCGCAUUCGCAGUCAUUUAAGUGUAGAAAGUGUAGACAAAGAGACGCGACAAAUUUUUUGUUUCGAUUGACGUGUCGCAUCACAGUGUAUGUACAUUUUUUAGCGCUCUGAAGUUGUUUGGUGUACGGCGACGUCUAGUUUAUAAGCCUCACGCGCUUAUUUUACACCUGACACGGUCCCAAAAGUUUUUCUACACAUUUAAGAAAACAAAUACGGACAAGCUAUUAUUAAUUGUCGCGAUUAUUCCAAGUUUUCGGCGACUACUCACAAAAACAUCAAAUAACGCUACGUCAAUGGAAAAACAUUUAUAUUGAUUUUACAAGCACGAAUUCGUACACAUCUAAUCGAUAUGAAAUAGUUUUAGUAGUAGUAAUAGUAGUAGUAGUAGUAGUAGUAGUAGUGGUGAUGUGAUGGUGGCAAUAAUAAUAGAAUAUGUUAUUUGCUUUGACAGCUACUUACAGUAGCUAGUGUAAACAGAAUACAAUAAAAUUUUUAACGUUGAUUUAUUACAGUUGUUGUUAUAUUGAA